rnacentral:tRNA from 1 species
GUUUCUAUGGCGCAAUCGGUUAUCGCUUUCGGCUGUUAACCGAAAGGUUGGUGGUUCAAGCCCACCCAUGGACG